CCUGGCCCUGCCUCGGUCAGAGCAGGCACUGGACAGGGCUGUGGAUUUGAUGCCCCUUGACUUGAAACUGUGACCUGGCUCAGAGCCUUUCUGGAUUUGAGGAAAUGCAUGUUGGAUUCGGGGCACACAGCCCAGGGGACACGGUUUCCUUUAGCACCUUGGGUUUCCGACGGGCUCUGAGGGCACCGACCUCUGGAAUGAGGGCUGCAUGCACUAGAGGCCCCUGAGAUGUGGAAUGUUGGCAGAGCACAGAAGUCACAGCCGAUCCGUUACGCAUUCACCAAGUCUCUGUCACCAAUGUUUUGGGACAAGUAUCUUUCGCCAGGUGCUGGUCCCUCCCACAACACAUGGGAAUUAUGGGAGCUACAAUUCAAGAUGAGAUGUGGUUGAGGACACAGCUUUCCACCAUGGAGGUCAGAGGGAGGAGAAGAGGGAAGUGAGGGCUUCCGACUCAUCUCUGGCCCUGGACCACUCCUGGGGGUGACCCUGGGGUCAGGGAGCUCCAGCCUUCCCACUCGAGGGGUUUCUAUCAAGGAAGAAGGGCUGAGCCCACAUCUGCGUGGUUAUCCAGGCAGAUGCCGCUGCUGGCGCUGUGGACCUGAAAGAGGAAGAAUUCUCUCAGACAGUUUCUCCUGAUGUUGGGAGAACAGGAGUCGUGUCUGAGUAACUAGAGACUCUCACUACUCUCCCUCAUACACCGUCAUCCUUCAGAGAGCUAGAGAGGUUUAUUAUUAUUAUUAUUAUUUGAGGUGGAGUUUUUGCUUUGGCUGGAGGACAAUGGCGCUAUCUUGGCUCACUGCAACCUCCACUUCCUGGGUUCAAGUGAUUCUCCUGCCUUAGUCUCCCAAAUAGCUGGGAUUACAGGCAUGCGCCACCACACCUGGCUAAUUUUGUAUUUUUAGUAGACACGGGGUUUCUCCAUGUUGGUCAGGCUGGUCUUGAACUGCUGACCUCAGGUAGUCUGCCCGCCUCGGCCUUCCAAAAUACUGGGAUUAUAGGCGUGAGCCACUGUGCCUGGCUGAGAUUUAUUAUUAUUUUUAAUCAGUGAGACAUGGGAG
rnacentral:lncRNA from 13 species